AUGAACGCUGGCGGCAGGCCUAACACAUGCAAGUCGAACGGUAGCACAGAGAGCUUGCUYUCGGGUGACGAGUGGCGGACGGGUGAGUAAUGUCUGGGAAACUGCCUGAUGGAGGGGGAUAACUACUGGAAACGGUAGCUAAUACCGCAUAACGUCGCAAGACCAAAGAGGGGGACCUUCGGGCCUCUUGCCAUCAGAUGUGCCCAGAUGGGAUUAGCUAGUAGGUGGGGUAACGGCUCACCUAGGCGACGAUCCCUAGCUGGUCUGAGAGGAUGACCAGCCACACUGGAACUGAGACACGGUCCAGACUCCUACGGGAGGCAGCAGUGGGGAAUAUUGCACAAUGGGCGCAAGCCUGAUGCAGCCAUGCCGCGUGUAUGAAGAAGGCCUUCGGGUUGUAAAGUACUUUCAGCGGGGAGGAAGGUGUUGUGGUUAAUAACCNCAGCAAUUGACGUUACCCGCAGAAGAAGCACCGGCUAACUCCGUGCCAGCAGCCGCGGUAAUACGGAGGGUGCAAGCGUUAAUCGGAAUUACUGGGCGUAAAGCGCACGCAGGCGGUCUGUCAAGUCGGAUGUGAAAUCCCCGGGCUCAACCUGGGAACUGCAUUCGAAACUGGCAGGCUAGAGUCUUGUAGAGGGGGGUAGAAUUCCAGGUGUAGCGGUGAAAUGCGUAGAGAUCUGGAGGAAUACCGGUGGCGAAGGCGGCCCCCUGGACAAAGACUGACGCUCAGGUGCGAAAGCGUGGGGAGCAAACAGGAUUAGAUACCCUGGUAGUCCACGCCGUAAACGAUGUCGAUUUGGAGGUUGUGCCCUUGAGGCGUGGCUUCCGGAGCUAACGCGUUAAAUCGACCGCCUGGGGAGUACGGCCGCAAGGUUAAAACUCAAAUGAAUUGACGGGGGCCCGCACAAGCGGUGGAGCAUGUGGUUUAAUUCGAUGCAACGCGAAGAACCUUACCUGGUCUUGACAUCCACAGAACUUUCCAGAGAUGGAUUGGUGCCUUCGGGAACUGUGAGACAGGUGCUGCAUGGCUGUCGUCAGCUCGUGUUGUGAAAUGUUGGGUUAAGUCCCGCAACGAGCGCAACCCUUAUCCUUUGUUGCCAGCGGUUAGGCCGGGAACUCAAAGGAGACUGCCAGUGAUAAACUGGAGGAAGGUGGGGAUGACGUCAAGUCAUCAUGGCCCUUACGACCAGGGCUACACACGUGCUACAAUGGCGCAUACAAAGAGAAGCGACCUCGCGAGAGCAAGCGGACCUCAUAAAGUGCGUCGUAGUCCGGAUUGGAGUCUGCAACUCGACUCCAUGAAGUCGGAAUCGCUAGUAAUCGUAGAUCAGAAUGCUACGGUGAAUACGUUCCCGGGCCUUGUACACACCGCCCGUCACACCAUGGGAGUGGGUUGCAAAAGAAGUAGGUAGCUUAACCUUCGGGAGGGCGCUUACCACUUUGUGAUUCAUGACUGGGGUGAAGUCGUAACAAGGUAACCGUAGGGGAACCC
rnacentral:rRNA from 1 species